CCUACGGGUGGCAGCAGUAGGGAAUAUUGCUCAAUGGUGGAAACCCUGAAGCAGCAAAGCCGCGUGGGGGAUGAAGGUUUUCGGAAUGUAAACUCCUUUUGUUAGAGAAGAUAAUGACGGUAUCUAACGAAUAAGCACCGGCUAACUCCGUGCCAGCAGCCGCGGUACUACGGAGGGAGCAAGCGUUACUCGGAAUCACUGGGCGUAAAGAGCGCGUAGGCGGGAUAGCAAGUCAGAUGUGAAAUCCUAGGGCUUAACCAUAGAACUGCAGUUGAAACUGUUAGUCUAGAGUAUGGGAGAGGUAGGUGGAAUUCUUGGUGUAGGGGUAAAAUCCGUAGAGAUCAAGAGGAAUACUCAUUGCGAAGGCGACCUGCUAGAACAUCACUGACGCUGAUGCGCGAAAGCGUGGGGAUCAAACAGGAUUAGAUACCCUUGUAGUC
rnacentral:rRNA from 1 species